AAAGUUGGCCUAUAUAGAUCUACUAAAAAUUAAUAUGGGUUUAAAAAUAUUUAUUUAAAAAAUAUGCCAGAAUUAAAAAUUAUGGCAUUCUAUUACAUAGAAUACAAUUUAAAAUAAAUAAUUAAAAAAAGAGAUAAAGAAUAAUUCAGAUAUGCCAGCCCUCAAGCUUGUCAGAGAUCUGGUGAAUAUGGCAUUUUAACAUGGGUAAGCUUAUUAAGACAGAGAGUCCCAAAAUCCUGGCAGUAGCUCCCCCAAGGUCUCCAAGAAGAUUUGGGCACAAUGUGACCCUGGAUUAUGGUAUGCUAGCCACUGGGCAAGACUGCCCCAACUGGCCCACUGCCUGGGCCCAGCCUAAACUGUGGACAAAACUGUGGACACCUGGAGAGUCAAUGUUUCAUGUUGCUAAGGGCGAGGUGAGGCCAUUCUCUCGUUUCUUUCUCCACAGAAACAGUCUCUCAUCUUCUGUGCCUGAUUGCUGGACUGCCCUGCUCAAGAUGCCAUGAGACCACAGGAGCCAAGGACAGCUGCCUAGAGUGAUGGACUGACUAGUUGUCACUGUCAUUUUGAUUGGUACAUGGAUUGCUACAUACUUAUCCUUCUCAGAUUUUCAUCUGGUUGAAAUUGCAAGCUGAGAUCUGAACUUCCUGGAAGCUGUCAUGAUUACUCACUGCCUCCUUGGAUGGACCACCUAACCAGACGUUUCUGAGGACUGCCCCAUUGCCCAGCCUUUGACUGGCAUUUCAGCCUUCCUAGCCCCUGAUGGCAAUGGUCCUACUGUCAGAGCUGAAGUAGUUUCAGAAGACGAGACCACCUGUCUAAAAUCCCACCUACAGGCUGAAAUGCUAAGUCAAAGGUGGCUCCCUGAUAUUAGCUAUUAUCUUGGGGAUUGCUUAGCUGGAGCAGAAACUAGUAUUGCAAUACAAUACUGGAUGUACAAAGCCAGAGUUAUAGCAGCUCAAGGGCAGAAUCUUUUGCUUUUGCCCAUUUUUGGAUCAGGCUUACUUAACAAGUUGUUAAAAUAUUUAAAAAGACUAAAAACUAUACAGUUAAUGGUAAUAAAAACACAAUUCAGUCAGCUUAGAGAUGACCUUAAACUGUAAGAGCCCAAGAUUGGCCUCUUCAGUUACAUGGAAAGGGGGAAAUGAAGAGCUUAAGAUAGCCUGAAUAUAACUCCAUUUUGAAAUAAAGAUCUUGACUGGGAACUGAAUUCAGGUACCAGGAAAUAUCACAGAAUGUACACCUGGCAGAAAACAAAGUUAACUCUCCUAGCAACAGCCUCCAGGAAAUAUAACAGAAUAAAUGCUUCAUAGAAAAUAGAGACAAACUCCCUGGCAAUAAUCAAUGGGAAUCGGUUGAGAAUAGGGUGGGAAAAUUCUCCCCAGUGUUUCAGAUGUGGUUUAGAAAAAUAGCCAUUGUGAUUAUAUGCCUUAGCCAUUGUGAUUAUGUGCCUCAGAAAAGGUCACCCCGCCCUGCUAAACUUCACGUAAUUCUGUAACGCCAAGGCUUGUGCCCCCCUGCUUGCUGCCAUGGAAACCCCCUGCUCACAGACUUUCCAUUUAAAAAUCCUGUUCAUUCAGAGCUUGGGGUCCCACUUCUCUACUGCUGUGCCAGUGAGACUUGGGUCCCGAGUUCGAUCGCUCUCGUAAUAAAGCUCUCUUGCAAUUGCA